CCUGUUUCUAAAUGCCUGGGGUUCUGUAGUAGGUCUGAAACCAGAGUAAAACCUGGCAUGGGGAAAGUUUGCUGCUGGUCUCUUUCAUCCAAAGAUGUUUUUUUCAGCUUUCAUCGUCAGAGGGAAAAUCUAAAAAUGACAUUUGGUUUAGAUUAAAAAAAAUAAGAUAAAGUAGCCCUGAGAGAGCAGAGCUUUGCUAACAGCUCAGCAGAUCUAGGAGCACCAUGGCUGCUGCCUGCGUGCAUCAGCAGAGGUAAUAGGAAGCAGGGAGGAUGUACCCAACUGUCUGCUCCCUUGAUGCCAUCCUUCUUUGCAAGAUUGAGGAAUUGAUUUUGCUUUGAAAUCUGUGCUCUUGGAGCUCCUGUUGACCCAACCAAGUUACUGCAGUGACACAUGAACCAACACUCCUCUGUCCUAGCAUUUCUGAUACAAGCAGUUGUGCAUUUCUCUUCCACUGAGAGCUGAGGGUCUUCUCAAUUUGUACCUGAUGGAGUGAUGGAUAGAAAUUUGUCAGAGACACAGCAGAUGGAAGAGAAGCUGUUGAAACUCAACUCCAGUUGUUUCUCCUUUUGGAGAAUUAAUUUCCAAUUGCAUUUACUCAGUGUAAUUAUCCUGCGUUGGCUAUAAUGAUUUUUCCAUGUAUGCACCGUGUUCAUUAAUAGUCCUUGUAUUUUUUAGUGCUUAUCUAUAGCCAAGUAAGGAAUGAUAAAUAACUAGGAAUCCAGUCUCCUCUACACCUCAAAUUAUAUUCUGUUACAAUUUUUGGAAAUCCUGGAGAAGGUUCAUUUAGCUUGGUUGAUAUGCAAUGUAUAUGAAAUAAUAAGUUGAUGGGAAAAGUCUCAGUGAUCUCCUGGAGCUGUGUGCCAGACCUAUGCUCUACUUCAUUUCUGUCAAAUAAAAUCAAAGUGCUGAGUACAGUAAUGAAGUAUGAGGAAGGUUGUCUUCUUCCUUCUGUGAUACAGAAUCAUAAAAUCAUAGAAUUGCUCAGGUUGGAAAAGACCUUCAAGAUCAUCAAGUCCGACCUCAACUUAACCAUACUACCCUAACUCUAACAACUCACCACUAAAUCAUG
rnacentral:lncRNA from 1 species